AGAUGGCUGCUAAAUGGGGCAAGGAGGCGGUGGGGGGCAAGAUGGUGGUAGGUAAAAUGGCUGCCAUGGGGGCAAGAUGGCUGCCUUGGGGGCAAGGUGGGGGGGCAAGAUGGCUGCUGUGGGGCAAGAUGGCUGCCAUGGGGCGAGGUGGUGGGGGGGCAAGAUGGCCGCCACUGGCAAGGUGGGGCCCAAGAUGGCGGCCGUGGGGCUGUGUGGGGCCGCGGGCGCUGAGCCGUGCCCCCCCAGGAGCGAGGCGGACAUGACGGCCUGGAUCUCCCGCCUCAACCUGGCGGCCGCCCUGCUCUCCUCGCCGCCGUUCCCCGCCGCCGUCGGCUCCCAGCGCCGCUUCGCGCGGCCCAUCCUGCCGGCUGCGCCCAGCCGCUGCUCGCCGGUGAGUGGGGGGGCGGGGGGACGGCAUGGGGUCACUAUGGGGACAGCAUGGGGACAUUAUGGGGACGCUUUGGGAUCACUAUGGGGUCACCAUUUAGACAACCAUGGGGACUCUGUGGGGACUCUAUGGGUCACUAUGGGGACUGUAUGGGGAUACCAAGGGGACUCUAUGGGGCCACUAUGGGGACACCAUGGGGAUGCUUUGAGGACUCUAUGGGGACGCUAUGGGGCCAAUAUGGGGUCGCUAUGGGGUCACCAUGUAGACAACCAUAGGGAUUCUAUGGGGACUCUAUGGGGCCACUAUGGGGACACCAUGGGGAUGCUUUGAGGACUCUAUAGGGGUGAUAUGGGGCCAAUAUGGGGACGCUAUGGGGAUACCAAGGGGAGUCUAUGGGGACAAUAUGGGGAUACUUUGAGGACUCUAUGGGGAUGCUAUGGGGCCACUAUGGGGUCACCAUAUAGACAACCAUGGGAACUCUAUGGGGCCACUAUGGGGACACCAUGGGGAUGCUUUGAGGACUCUCUGGGGGUGCUGUAGGGCCAAUAUGGGGUCGCUAUGGGGACUCUAUGGGGAUGCUUUGAGGAGUCUAUGGGGGUGAUAUGGGGCCAAUA
rnacentral:lncRNA from 1 species